GACGAACGCUGGCGGCGUGCCUAAUACAUGCAAGUAGAACGCUGAAGCGAGGAGCUUGCUCUUCUUGGAUGAGUUGCGAACGGGUGAGUAACGCGUAGGUAACCUGCCUUGUAGCGGGGGAUAACUAUUGGAAACGAUAGCUAAUACCGCAUAACAAUGGAUGACACAUGUCAUUUAUUUGAAAGGGGCAAUUGCUCCACUACAAGAUGGACCUGCGUUGUAUUAGCUAGUAGGUGAGGUAAUGGCUCACCUAGGCGACGAUACAUAGCCGACCUGAGAGGGUGAUCGGCCACACUGGGACUGAGACACGGCCCAGACUCCUACGGGAGGCAGCAGUAGGGAAUCUUCGGCAAUGGGGGCAACCCUGACCGAGCAACGCCGCGGGAGGGAAGAAGGUUUUCGGAUCGUAAAGCUCUGUUGUAAGUCAAGAACGGGUGUGAGAGUGGAAAGUUCACACUGUGACGGUAGCUUACCAGAAAGGGACGGCUAACUACGUG
rnacentral:rRNA from 1 species